UUUGAGGGGCCGCGGAUCUCACUCGAGUUAGGAACGUCGAUUUGGAAGGUUGCCGAAGGGCCCUGAUGUUGGAUUGUUACAGCCACGCUGCUGCAUUUGUGGUGGAUUCUUCUUCUUCUAGGUGUAUUAUGAAACGAAUGCCGCUGGUCAACGGCAGACUUACUUCUUCCACUAAAGGAACCCCGUCAAGAUUACUACUGUGUUGCUACUAAUCUCGCCUUGUAUCGUUCCACUGAUCCAUCAAGUUUAUAUUUUAUCUUGAAUACCCAUUUGCUGCCAA
rnacentral:lncRNA from 1 species